GAUGAACGCUGGCGGCGUGCCUAAUACAUGCCAGUCGAGCGAACAGACGAGGAGCUUGCUCCUCUGACGUUAGCGGCGGACGGGUGAGUAACACGUGGAUAACCUACCUAUAAGACUGGGAUAACUUCGGGAAACCGGAGCUAAUACCGGACAAUAUAUUGAACCGCAUGGUUCAAUAGUGAAAGACGGUUUUGCUGUCACUUAUAGAUGGAUCCGCGCCGCAUUAGCUAGUUGGUAAGGUAACGGCUUACCAAGGCAACGAUGCGUAGCCGACCUGAGAGGGUGAUCGGCCACACUGGAACUGAGACACGGUCCAGACUCCUACGGGAGGCAGCAGUAGGGAAUCUUCCGCAAUGGGCGAAAGCCUGACGGAGCAACGCCGCGUGAGUGAUGAAGGUCUUCGGAUCGUAAAACUCUGUUAUUAGGGAAGAACAAAUGUGUAAGUAACUAUGCACAUCUUGACGGUACCUAAUCAGAAAGCCACGGCUAACUACGUG
rnacentral:rRNA from 1 species